rnacentral:tRNA from 2 species
GCGGCCGUAGUCUAGUUUGGAUCAGGACGGCGGCCUGCCACGUCGCAGAUCCCGGGUUCAAAUCCCGGCGGCCGCA